AUCCUUUGGCUCAUAAGCAUGAUGAUUGGGUGUUCAUGCUUUAUGCAUGAGAUGUGCCUCCCUCAAACCUUGUUACGACAUGGGCACAUUACCUGUCUGACA